GAAAGGAGGCCAUCAGAGCCUGUCUACUGCUUGUGUCUCUUUGUCAGUCAAUCUUAUAUUCCUCGAAAAAUCAAGUCCACCCUCUUUACUCAUAAGUCAAGUCAACCGUCCUUCCAAAUAGUAAAGCUAACAAUAUUAUAUAAAAGUCAAGUCCAUCCUCCUAAUUCAUUUAUUAAGUCACAUAUACUUACUCAGUAGUCAAUUCCACCCUCCUUACUCAAUAGUCAAGUCAACCCUCCUUCCAAAUAGUCAAGUUUACCAUGUUA